GGAGAGGUAAAACAUGAGGUGAAGAGUGGUGUUAGCCAUGGGGACAUUUGUAGAGAGAAGGAUUAAGAUAAUAUAGGUGCUACCAUAUGGGCCCACUGCCAAAAGUUAUCUCAACCACUGGAGGCUGGAUGACCAGGGCCCAUUUGCAGCAUCAAAUACCUCAGGAAGACUGGAUUGACAGAGAAAAGAAAUCAGACUAGGGCAAAGAGUUGACAGAGGUCAAAUGAAUUUCUUUCUGUGUGAAAUAUUUUCCUCUGGGCAUAGUUAUUCCCAUCAGCAUUGGCAUUAUAAUGGACUAAUUCUUUCAUAUUUGAGACGCAGCUAUCUUAAUUUCCAGCCCAACACAUCAUAUAAGAAUUUGCAUUUCCUGAACCCCAAGUCCCCAGGCUACUUCACUCUAAACUUUACCAUGUAUUCCUAACAUGAUUAUGGCCCCA
rnacentral:lncRNA from 1 species